rnacentral:tRNA from 1 species
GCGAGGGUGGCGGAACUGGCAGACGCGCUAGACUUAGGAUCUAGUGGUAUAUACCGUAGGAGUUCGACUCUCCUCCCUCGCACCA